GAUGAACGCUGGCGGCGUGCCAAAUACAUGCAAGUCGAGCGAACAGACGAGGAGCUUGCUCCUCUGACGUUAGCGGCGGACGGGUGAGUAACACGUGGAUAACCUACCUAUAAGACUGGGAUAACUUCGGGAAACCGGAGCUAAUACCGGAUAAUAUAUUGAACCGCAUGGUUCAAUAGUGAAAGACGGUUUUGCUGUCACUUAUAGAUGGAUCCGCGCCGCAUUAGCUAGUUGGUAAGGUAACGGCUUACCAAGGCAACGAUGCGUAGCCGACCUGAGAGGGUGAUCGGCCACACUGGAACUGAGACACGGUCCAGACUCCUACGGGAGGCAGCAGUAGGGAAUCUUCCGCAAUGGGCGAAAGCCUGACGGAGCAACGCCGCGUGAGUGAUGAAGGUCUUCGGAUCGUAAAACUCUGUUAUUAGGGAAGAACAGAUGUGUAAGUAACUAUGCACGUCUUGACGGUACCUAAUCAGAAAGCCACGGCUAACUACGUG
rnacentral:rRNA from 1 species